rnacentral:lncRNA from 1 species
GCCUGAUGCUGAAACAGUUCCAGCUAAGCCCCUGAGAUGGAGUAGUCUUUAUGAGGAUUUUCCCUCAAACAACAUGGGUCAUAUCCUACGCAUGGCUUCUUAUCCAUGGACUUCUGUACAUGUCUUCACACAAGUUCUCCACGAGGGUCUACCAACCAUGCUUAAGCCCUACAUGAUUUCUCCUGACAUCUUGAGGAUGCCUGUGACCAGUGACCUCACCUUCAACAUAGGAGAGAGAAGUGGCAUUAUAGAAAACAAAGAUGAGAAAAGAAGCCAAAUUAGACCAAGUGUGUGCAGAGGAAAACUCAGCUGA